UACGGAGGGGGCUAGCGUUGUUCGGAAUUACUGGGCGUAAAGCGUACGUAGGCGGCUUUGUAAGUUAGAGGUGAAAGCCCGGAGCUCAACUCCGGAAUUGCCUUUAAGACUGCAUCGCUUGAAUCAUGGAGAGGUUAGUGGAAUUCCGAGUGUAGAGGUGAAAUUCGUAGAUAUUCGGAAGAACACCAGUGGCGAAGGCGACUAACUGGACAUGUAUUGACGCUGAGGUGCGAAAGCGUGGGGAGCAAACAGG
rnacentral:rRNA from 1 species